rnacentral:tRNA from 1 species
CUUGGCAUGUGGCUCGGUGGUAGAGCACUUGCCUGGCAUGCACGAGCCUGCGCUCAAUCCCCAGUGCUGACA